UUUGGUUAUCAAUAUAUGUUUUAAAUCCACUUUAUUUAAAGCUACAGUUUCCUGAUUUAGUGCUUCUCCUGGGCUAAACCCUCUGGAGAUCUGUAAAAUAAUAUGUUUUUUAACACGUGUCUAUUUAUAAAUUUAUUUUCCAAAGUAAAUCCGGGCAACAGGAGCACCUGAUUACUUAUGUUUACCCGGCGCCAUGUUGGGUAAGAGCACCUCACACGCUAUUUAGCAGUCGGGGUUAUUUAUACACAUAGCAGGAAGCUUUUUAACUUGACGUAUUCUUAUCUUGGUUUCUUCAUUUUAGGGGUAAAUCAGACUAAAUUAGAUUUUAGUUUGCAGCUUUCUCGAGUGCUUUAUUACCCAAGUACUGAGAGUGACCUCCUACAAUCAUUACUGUCCUUUUUUCAUUAUUGCUUUUUUACCAGCAAUUACUAUAAAUUUGUUACUGAUUCUAACCAGUCUCCUGGUGCCUUAUUGCUCUAAUAGGGGCAUUAACUAGUCUCAAGGGUGCCUUAUUUCACUGAUGGGGGCAUUAACUAGUCCCCUGGGUGCCUUAAUGCCCUGUGAGUGUCAGUAGCCAGUCUCCUUUGUGCCUUAUUGCUCUGAUGGGGGCACCAACCAUUCCAGAUCAGUUGGAGAGCUACUUGUUUACCAUAGGCCUAUUCAAUGGCAAGUGUACAAUUGUGGCUCUGUAAAUGAAAUGGAAAAUACUGCCGUUUGCUUUGCUGCGUAAUGAUACUGGUUACCUGUUAAAACAGAUUUCAAACACUGACGCACACAUUUAACGACACCACAUAUUUAGGUUUUAAUAUUUGACCUUCACAUCUCCAAAGCCAUAUUGCCAAACUCGCGUCACCCUACAUCAGUCCCAAGUCAUGGCCCCCUGUUAAGCUGGCGUCCCCUAUAUGUGUUGUCUUGUGAAA